rnacentral:lncRNA from 1 species
GCGGGAAGCAUCAGCAGCCUGAUCACAUGCUACCUAGUCUAAUGCAGACGGGAUAGGGGUGUGUGUGGGGAGGGGGCUCUAUGGCAACUAUUCUUGCUUGAACGCUGCCAAAAGUACAGAGGCAGCAGCUGCAGCAUAUAGCCAGCUUGGAUGUCUUGCCCCAGAACCUGAGGAAACUAAUAUUGGUGGUAUUUAUUGUUGAUAGUAUUGAGAAAAACAACCCUUAACUCUAGGGGUUUGUUUUGCUGUUCUCCUUCCCAAAACAGACUUCCAGGACUCUGAAGAAGCAAUUACAAGCAGGAUGCUUUUCCCCACCUCUGCGCAAGAAUCUCCCCGCGGCCUCCCAGAUGCAAACGGUUUGUGCCUUGGCCUGCAGUCACUCAGUCUGACUGGCUGGGACCGACCCUGGAGCACCCAGGACUCAGACUCCUCAGCCCAGAGCAACACACAGUCAGUAUUAAGCAUGCUCCAAAAUCCACUGGGAAAUGUCUUAGGAAAAACCCCCUUGAGCUUCCUGUCUCUGGAUCCCCUUGGGUCUGACUUGGACAAGUUCCCAGCGCCCUCAGUUAGAGGAUCUCGCCUGGACACCCGGCCU